ensembl:snRNA U1 U1 spliceosomal RNA
UUCCUUCUUACAGAGGUUCAGCCAGGGCGAGGCUCGGCCAUUGCACUCCGGCUGUGCUGACCCCUGCAAAUUCCCCAAAUGUGGGAAUCUUGACUGCAUCAUUUCUGGUAGUGGGGGACUGCGUUCGCACUCUCCCCUG